GUAGGUGGCAAGCGUUGUCCGGAAUUAUUGGGCGUAAAGCGCGCGCAGGCGGGUCCCUUAAGUCUGAUGUGAAAGCCCACGGGCUCAACCGUGGAGGGUCAUUGGAAACUGGGGGACUUGAGUACAGAAGAGGAAAGCGGAAUUCCACGUGUAGCGGUGAAAUGCGUAGAGAUGUGGAGGAACACCAGUGGCGAAGGCGGCUUUCUGGUCUGUAACUGACGCUGAGGCGCAAAAGCGUGGGGAGCAAACAGGAUUAGAUACCCUGGUAGUCCACGCCGUAAACGAUGAGUGCUAAGUGUUAGGGGGUUUCCGCCCCUUAGUGCUGCAGCUAACGCAUUAAGCACUCCGCCUGGGGAGUACGGCCGCAAGGCUG
rnacentral:rRNA from 1 species